rnacentral:lncRNA from 1 species
GCACGUCUUAGGUUUCUAUUCAGUACAUCUGAAAUGUAUCUUUCUAUCACAGAGCCUAGUAUUGUUAUCUUUUUGAUUGACAAUAUUUUUAACAAGGUCUUUGGAACACAUGGUACCAUUGCUUGCUAAACAAGUCACCUCACCUAGUCACUGAAAUCUUUUCUAGUUCUACUUGUGAUUGUAAGCAACAUACUCAAUAUAUAUCUGUUUCAUGAAUCAAGAAUUUGGGGUGUCACAAGUGUGUACUUGUAGUGGAAAUGCUGUCAUGGCUUGAAACAAUGAUUGAGCACCUGUUGGAAAGGCAGGACCAACCCAGGGGAGCUCAGGUGCAGGCAAUGUGCCUGAGUGACCAGGAGGGGUGGAGCCAGGAUCCUGCCCCUCCCAGACCUCAUUUAAGGGUUGGCAGUGGAGGUGAGAGAUUUUUGCUGGAGAUUCCUGCAUGCCUGAAGUCUCUAAUGAUUCUUUAACAAUGUAAAGGAGGUAUCUUUCAUCUGAUUCCUAAGUGAAUAAGAAACUUGAAGGAAACAGGAGGGUAGCAACAAGGCAUCUUCUUGAAUCUCUCAUUUUCCUGAACAAGUGCAAUGAUGAGAGAUCUUGUUGGACACAGAAGAGAAGAGAGACAAUAUUUGUCUGGAGCAGCUCUUGCCAGAUGAGAAAUCCCUCAGUGUGCACACAGUUGUUUGACCACCUCGCACAAUGAAAUGCUGCAUCGGGAAUAUCCAUAUGAUAAGGAGACUGGAGGAUGCUUUUCUGCAUAACUUUAUCAUUCCAAUGGUCUGGAGGAUUUGGAUGAUUGAAAACCAACAAGUAAAUAAAGCCCUAUCUAUUACACAGCCAACUGUUGGAGGAUUUGAGAGGCAUGCAGAGAACUCUAUUUUUGUUCAAAGCAUCCCUUCAAAACCAACCAUAAACACUGUGUCACAUCACUGCUGCCUUGUUGAGACACUGUCUGCACACAGGGAGGAAGGAGCAGAGAC